UACGAAGGGGGCUAGCGUUGCUCGGAAUCACUGGGCUUAAAGGGCGCGUAGGCGGGCCAUAAAGUCAGGGGUGAAAUCCUCCAGCUUAACUGGAGAACUGCCUUUGAUACUGAUGGUCUCGAGUAAGGUAGGGGCAUGCGGAACUGAUGGUGGAGCGGUGAAAUGUGUUGAUAUCAUCAGGAACUCCGGUGGCGAAGGCGGCAUGCUGGACCUUCACUGACGCUGAGGCGCGAAAGCUAGGGGAGCGAACGGG
rnacentral:rRNA from 1 species